rnacentral:misc_RNA from 1 species
CACAAUCUCUCAAGCCUAGCUUGGGGUGUUGGGUCUUCGUCCCCUCCCUCUCCCUCUCUCUACCGUUCGGGUAGAGGGGAGAGGACCCGGAUGUACCUAAAAAUUAGUGGCGGUGCCCAUGUUGGCCUCAAGCGUAGUAGACUCUCUCUCGUUUUGGAUGGUUUGUCAUGUGGUUCACCAGUCUAAUCUAAAAUCUUAUAAAG